rnacentral:lncRNA from 1 species
AGGAAAGGAGCACUCGGCCCCCUCUUUCUCCUCCAAUACAGCUCGAGGAGCAACCAUGUAAUACCAAUAUACCUCAUAUACAGACAUGCAGGAAUAGGGGUACUAUCUCAGCAGAGCCCCAAACCUGGAUAAACCACCGUGUGCUAUUACCCUACCCCGUCCUGGAUCUUUCAGGGCAACCUUGCUCUCACCUCGAUUAGCCACCCCCUUCGUCAGAAAACGACUAUACUUGGCGGUCAUCGUGGGGCUAGCUGGUGGUG